AACAAUACAGGACUUUUUGGUUUUGUAAUUGGAAUGAGUUAAGUAUAAACCCCUUUACAAGUAUCAAUUGGAGGGCAAGUCUGGUGCCAGCAGCCGCGGUAAUUCCAGCUCCAAUAGCGUAUAUCAAAGUUGCUGCAGUUAAAGAGCUCGUAGUUGGAUUUCUGUUAAAUUGUUUAUAUAAAAUACUUUGUUAUUUAUAUAACGUUAACAUAAUUCACAUUACUUUUAAGUAUGUGAAAUUUUACUUUGAGAAAAUUAGAGUGCUUAAAGCAGG
rnacentral:rRNA from 1 species